GUUUUAAAACAUACUCGCUGUCUAAUCAAAAAUUUUCGAAAAUAAAAUCAAAACAACUAAAGUACAAGUACCUCAUUACAUACAUACACAUUCCAUUCCUCAACCAAAAUUUUGAAUUUUUCCUGAACCAAAACUCUAUUCCCCCGUUCCCCCUUUCUCGCCCUCGCCCCCUUUCACUGUCCACACCCUCUCUCUUUCUCCAUCUCUCUCACUCGUAGUCUCUUGCACGCAUCUCUCUCUCGUCAAGCUUUAACCCCAUGCUAGACUUCAACCAGAUGCCUGAAUUACCAACUCGCCGGACCUACCACCGCCGAGCCCAAUCUGAGAUCUGCUUCCGUUUCGAAAACGACGACCUCUGCUUAGACGACAUCGUCGCUGACUUCAAUGGAUGGGUCAUGGGUCGGGUCACGGAUUGUGUGUGACUCAGGGACUCACAAGCAUAGAAAUUCAGUGGAUGGGUCUUCUUUAAGUCUCGAUUCGAUGAUGGUUUUGAUAAUAGCAGUGUUAAAAAAGCUCCAGCGCCUGAUAAAUUGGCUAAAAGGGUUUCUAUUCUUCAGCUGGGGGUUUUACCAAUUACGAAAGGCACUCUUUCUCAAAUCUCUCUAUUUUCUACUUUUGAUCAGUUACUCUUUGUAUAUAUGUAUGAUUCAAAGCGAGAGGCUACUUGGGAAUUAGAGGAUUCUAUUCGUGAGAGGUAUCCGCAUUUAUUCGAUUCAGGUUCGGAGUUGGGAGUUUAGCGAAUAAUUUACGGCGUCUCGUACGUGAGUGUUCGAUUAGCUAUUUUCGAGGUACGGAUUCUAUUCCUUUUAUUCAGCGCUACUCCUUUCGAUAUUAAAUGAUUUUGAUCUGUCCUAUUUUAAUCCGUCCGAUUUGCUAAAUUUGUUUUGUGCUAUUCAUUUGACUGUUUUGAUUUCCGAAAAAUAUUUUAAAAAUCUGUUUUGAAAGAUUUAAAUAUUUGUAAUGCGGUUUUCAAAGAUUUUACAAAUUGUGAUUUGUUCAGAUUAUUUUUUUUUUUUUUGAAAAUGAGAAUAAAUCUCAACGAGAAUUGGCAAAUCACUGUGAUAAUUCUUUCAUUCAAGAAAGCUUAUUAUCUAACCGUCGGUCAUGCAAGAUGACCGGGGAAAUUUAGACAAUAAAACUUUAAUGUCCGAAAAGAAAACCGGCCUUCUUCCAAGAAUCCUGAAAAUAAAACAAUAGAAACAAAAAGAAUAUAAGUCGAUAUAUUUAACAUAUUACAUCAAAAUAUUUCCACAAUCAUGAUAACUCAUGAUUGAGACAAUUAAGCUCUUAAUUAAGGCAUAAUAAUAAAAUAUUAAUAUCCUUAAUUAAGACACAAUUAACGCCAUCAAAUAAGGCCCAAUUAACGCCCUCAAUAAAGAGGCCAUCAAAUAAUUUGUUCAGAUUAUUUGAAUUAUCUGUACCAUGUGAUUUUAAAGUUGUGAAAACUAUUUGUUUUGGAGCCCUUAGAGAGAUAUAGGGUAUACCGAGUUACCCAGCUGUAGGGGUACUACAACCAUGUCUUUGCGGCACCAUUGACAUGACACUUCCGUGACAGUGUGAUUGGUCACGGCGUAUCCUUCUGUUAGCUUUUGGGAGGAGAUUUGGCCAUUUUGAUUAUUUGUUUAGGAUACGUGGGUGCACCCGGUUCAGUUUGAUUUGAUUUGUGAUUUGCGGUGACGUUGUAUAUGCCGUACACGUUAUCCGAUUUGUUGCACACAUUAGGUACCCUAUGAUGUGUGUAUCUGUAUAUAUUCUGAUAUGAUCUCGGUAUGAAAUAUCCUAACCCCUUGUUGCUUCAGCCUGUUAUUUUAAAAUAACUGAUUUAUAUUACUGUCAAAAUAUUUUAAAUGUUUCUUGUUUUGUAAAUGCUUCCAAUCCGUACUGGGCAUUUGGCUCAUGCCGUAUUCUUCUUCUAGCAGGUACUUAGGGGGAUUCGGAAGUGUGUGAUGGAGAGCAGCCCUUUCUUUUCAUUGAUUAGGAUUUAUGGACUUCUAGUAUUUAUUCAGUUUUAUUGUUAGAGUUCUAUUUCUUCGCAUUAUUCGGAUUUAAUUAUUUUGGAGGAUUUAAAUCAUUUUAGGAAUUAUCAGACUUGCUUAUUAUCGUUGGAAUAUAUAUAGUGCUCUGUUUGCAGGUUUUGGAUUUGUAGGUAACCUCUCGUCUUAAUUUAAGAUGGGGGUGUUACAUCACCACUGGGAAGUGGGAACUGUCACUGAAAAUGGAGGGUUUGCUGGACUAGUUGUGCUAGCAAAAGUACUACCAGUUCAAUAGCAAACCCACCAAGACUACCGAAUAUAAGUUCAGUUGAUCGACUUUCUUCAGGAGCUUCCUAUUCUAUUUCAUCCUCUUGCGUAUAUAUAACAGCUGAAUUAUCAAUCCUCUGAUCAUUCGCAGUUGCAAUACUUGAAAGAGAAGCUGAAGAUAGAACGGCAGGAGAUAGUUGUUCCAGAUCAGGAGAUGGAUUACCAUCAGUACAUGAUACACAUGACCACUAAGGUGUGGGUGAAAUAUUAGCAGAAAAUGAUAUUAAAACACGCCUAAUAUAUGUUACCCUGUCCAAAGAAUCUCCGCGUCUCCUUGCAGUUUCUCGUUCAGAACUUUUAAGUCUGGUUGAGUCUUUUCUCCAGGAUUGUUCUUUACCAGCAACAGAAUUUGACAAACUCAGACGACCCUGUUUUGAAGAGGUAUUUGAAGUUUUUCUUUCACUCCCAUGAGAGUUUUAAGAGGGCAUCGUUAUAAGGGAUGCCUAUUGUUUCAAAUAAAUCUCUUUUCACGUUCGGUUUUUUUUUUGGAAAGUGAUUCAAUGCUCAGGACAACCAUUUGCUUUGAGAGACAUUUAGAAAGAUGCUCAGUAGCUGCUAGUUGUGCGCUCAUUGUAUUUUGUAAACUAUGCAAGGAAUUUACAUAUCUGAAACAAGUCAAACACCGAAUUCAGUUAUACUUUGCUGCUUGUUCCAAAAAACCUUUAAAAUUUUAUCUAAGUAAAGCUAAAAGAAACUUGCUCCUACUGCAAUGGUAUAGAAGAAUUACAAGACCUAAAAGAUCUCGAGUAAGGAUAUGGAACUAUGGUGGAGACUAACAUUAUAGUAGUUUAAUUACCUUGAUGACCCAUGCUUGCUUUGCAUAGUUCUAGGAUUCAUUCCAGAAUCAGCACAUUCAGAAAAUUUAUUGAGCUCAAGAGAGUUGAAAUGCUUUUCCAGAUCAAUUAGCUGAUUAGUUAACUCUUGUAGUAUAACAUUUGUGAAGUGAUAAAAUUUUAAAUAUACAUAUCCAAAUUAUCACAUGGAUUAUAAAUGAUAUGCACCUGGUUUAGUUCUAACAAGUAUGUCGUC